rnacentral:rRNA from 1 species
GUGGGGAAUCUUCCACAAUGGACGAAAGUCUGAUGGAGCAACGCCGCGUGAGUGAAGAAGGGUUUCGGCUCGUAAAGCUCUGUUGUCGGGGACGAAUGUGAGAUACUUGAACAAAGUGUCUCAAUGACGGUACCUGACGAGGAAGCCACGGCUAACUACGUGCCAGCAGCCGCGGUAAUACGUAGGUGGCAAGCGUUGUCCGGAAUUAUUGGGCGUAAAGGGAGCGCAGGCGGGAAGGUAAGUCGGACUUAAAAGUGCGGGGCUCAACCCCGUGAUGGGAUCGAAACUAUCUUUCUUGAGUGCAGGAGAGGAAAGUGGAAUUCCUAGUGUAGCGGUGAAAUGCGUAGAUAUUAGGAGGAACACCAGUGGCGAAGGCGACUUUCUGGACGAUGUCUGACGCUGAGGCGCGAAAGCUAGGGGAGCGAACGGGAUUAGAUACCCCUGUAGUCC